rnacentral:rRNA from 2 species
UACCAGCACCCCGAGUGGUCGGGACGAUUAUUGGGCCUAAAGCAUCCGUAGCCGGUUCUGCAAGUCCUCCGUUAAAUCCAACUGCUUAACAGAUGGGCCGCGGAGGAUACUACAGAGCUAGGAGGCAGGAGAGGCAAGCGGUACUCAGUGGGUAGGGGUAAAAUCCGUUGAUCCAUUGAAGACCACCAGUGGCGAAGGCGGCUUGCCAGAAUGCGCUCGACGGUGAGGGAUGAAAGCUGGGGGAGCAAACCGG